rnacentral:rRNA from 1 species
UUGCCUGCCCAGUGACAAUGUUAAACGGCCGCGGUAUUUUGACCGUGCGAAGGUAGCGCAAUCACUUGUCUUUUAAAUGAAGACCUGUAUGAAUGGUGAAACGAGGGCUUAGCUGUCUCCCUUUUCUAGUCAAUGAAAUUGAUCUGCCCGUGCAGAAGCGGACAUAAAAAUACAAGACGAGAAGACCCUUUGGAGCUUAUUGUAUAAAGAUCAUCUAUGUCAAUGGGCCCCAACACGGCAACAAACUAAAUAGCAACUGAUCUUAAUCUUCGGUUGGGGCGACCACGGGAGAAAAUAGAGCUCCCACGCGGACUGGGGUAAACCCUAAAACCAAGAAAAACAUUUCUAAGCAACAGAACUUCUGACCAUUAAGAUCCGGCUACACGCCGACCAACGGACCAAGUUACCCUAGGGAUAACAGCGCAAUCCCCUUUCACAGUCCAUAUCGACAAGGGGGUUUACGACCUCGAUGUUGGAUCAAGACAUCCUAAUGGUGCAUCCGCUAUUAAGGGUUCGUUUGUUCAACGAUUAAAGUCCUACUUGAUCUGAUUUCAAACCGGUUCACAAGAACCAAAGUAAUAUGCGAGAGUUAGUCAUAAGGGGUACAGCCCUUACGAAACAGAAUACAACCUCACCAGGUGGUUAAAGAUUAUAUUAAACAAGAUAAACUGCUUCAGUGGGCCUAAAAGCAGCCACCUGAUCAG